rnacentral:rRNA from 1 species
UACAGAGGUCCCGAGCGUUGUUCGGAUUCACUGGGCGUAAAGGGUGCGUAGGUGGUGAGGUAAGUCGGAUAUGAAAGCUCCAAGCUCAACUUGGAAAUGGCAUUGGAAACUACCUUGCUAGAGGGUUUGAGGGGGGACUGGAAUACUUGGUGUAGCAGUGAAAUGCGUAGAUAUCAAGUGGAACACCAGUGGCGAAGGCGAGUCCCUGGAAAACUCCUGACACUGAGGCACGAAAGCUAGGGGAGCAAACAGG